GUGCCGGACAGCGGGUCCAGCGGCCCUGGGAGCAGUGUCCCCGAAGGCCAGAAGAGGGCGCUGGAUCCCCUGGAGCUGGGUUUACAACGGAUUAGGUGAGGCCUGACGCAGGGGCCAGGAUGAGAACUCAGGUGCAGCGGAAUUCAGGGCAGCAAGUUGUCCACUGAGCAUCUCUCCGGCCUCCCCGCCCUUCCUAAGAGAUCAACGGCAAACAACACAGGCAUGCCUGGAGAGAUAAACCGAAACAAAACCUACCAAACAGAAAACGCAGGGGACGGACACACCGGCGAGCAAAGCUGUCGAAAACUCUGGGUGGAACCAGCUUCUCAAAGCAACAUAGAAAGAACUGAAAGUCCCUCCCCUCCAGAGCCCACCUCAGCUCGGCACCCACACAUUUCUUCCUUCGCUUAUUUCCCGGAUAGAUACCUUAUUUUUCUUCUUCUUCUUCUUUUCUUCUUCUUCACAAAAACUUACCUUUCAGACAGGCGAGGUGAGCAAGCCUGAGAUGCCCGGGGAAGCUCAGGCAGGAGCCUGGAGAGCUACGGGCCAGCCUGGGCUAGCGAGCGCAGGGGAGGGGGGCUGUGCUGUGCUGUCUCCCCUAAAAAGCUGAUUAAGGACGGAGCAGGGUGAGGUGGCACAGGCCUGCCACCUCCAGGGGACCCGCUGUUGAGUUCCCAGCACCAGAUGGUGGCUCACAGCCCUCUGUCAGUCCAGCAGGGAGAGCUGACGCCCGAUCUGUCCUCUGUGGCCACCAGACACACGCGUGGUGCCCAGGCAGAUGCGCAGGCGAAACACCCAGACACAAAAAUAAAUGAAUAAAAAAGAA